UACGUAGGGUGCAAGCGUUGUCCGGACUUAUUGGGCCUAAAGCAUCCGUAGCCGGUUCUACAAGUCUUCCGUUAAAUCCACCUGCUUAACAGAUGGGCUGCGGAGGAUACUAUAGAGCUAGGAGGCGGGAGAGGCAAGCGGUACUUAGUGGGUAGGGGUAAAAUCCGUUGAUCCAUUGAAGACCACCAGUGGCGAAGGCGGCUUGCCAGAACGCACUCGACGGUGAGGGAUGAAAGCUGGGGGAGCAAACCGG
rnacentral:rRNA from 1 species